UACGUAGGGUGCAAGCGUUGUCCGGAAUUAUUGGGCGUAAAGGGCUCGUAGGCGGUCUGUCACGUCGGGAGUGAAAACUCAGGGCUUAACCCUGAGCCUGCUUCCGAUACGGGCAGACUAGAGGUAUUCAGGGGAGAACGGAAUUCCUGGUGUAGCGGUGAAAUGCGCAGAUAUCAGGAGGAACACCGGUGGCGAAGGCGGUUCUCUGGGAAUAUCCUGACGCUGAGGAGCGAAAGUGUGGGGAGCGAACAGG
rnacentral:rRNA from 1 species